rnacentral:rRNA from 1 species
UUGUAUGGCCAUACCACCCUGAACGCUCCUGAUCUUGGAAGCUAAGUUGGGUUUAGUUAGGCUAAUACUGGGAUGGGAAAAGACAAGCUUACUGCUAAAUAUC